GAGAGGAGAGCCUGAUCAGUCGCUGGCCGCACGCGCGCAAACACACACACACACACACACACACUCACUCGCUCUCUCUCCGCCGCUCCUUCCUUGCGCACGUGUGAAUGUGCAGAGGCGUAUUAACUCCACGGCUGUUGUCAGCCUCUUGUCCUGGGGGAAAAGUGACGAUUCGGUGGUGAGAUGUUCCGCCUUCCACCGAGUUAAAUUACGUCGAGUUAUCGCCUCAUCUCCGCCAGGCUCCUCUCAUUCAGCCGACAGCUGGUGCGAUUCUGCUCGGAGUGAGCAGAGUGGAGAGGGAAAGAGAGAGAGAGAGUUUUCCCAAAGACGCCAAGCGGGGUACAAGUGGAUAUUCAUGACAACUUCAGAAUGGUGGAAUUAGAGUGGACGUAUUAGACCCUGCCCUUUGCCUGUGCCUGAAGAUUACAGGUAAGACAUGCUUUGCCACAACAACAACUGUAAGAGUCUUGAUUGCAGUGUAAUGCUGCUUUUUCCUGCUUCAUUGCUGUCUUGUACUUUCAGUGAGUAACUGGGGUACAUUAAUGUAAGUGAAUGACAUAUCUAACAGUUUCUCACAUCUGCAUGAGUAUGAGACUCAUGAGUUGUUUUUUUUCUUUUUCUUUUUUACAUGCUAAGCAUACACAUAAGAAUUUGAGCAUCAGAAUAAAUGAUGAUCCUGCCAGAAAGUGCCGUCUGAUUUACCUGGCACACAGUGCACAAGCAUGACAGAUGUGACAGCUGUCAGACACCAGCAUGGCCAUAUGGGUCAGAGGACUGGAGAAAUCUUACAAUUAUUUCACUGGAAUAUUCCUGGUUGCCAAUACUGGUUUGCCACAUCCCUGCCAUUGCAACACAGAGAAGACAUCCCACCAGUUUAUUGUAAGAAGCUCCAGCCGCUCUUUUCAGUGCGGUGACAAUAAAGCAUUCACGUGACGGUCACAGUCACAGUCGGUGCUUUUUGCAAUAUCAGAAAGCGUUGUCAGACACAAUGCUGGCAGCCAAGUGUCCUGAAAAGGGAAAUGGAAAAAGAAGUCUUAUCGGCCCCCUUUUAAGUCUAAUUUUGGCUUAAAUUGCGGAGUUGUGUUCAGAGGUUGACGGCAAAGCUGUCAGGAGGAAUAUCCAGCUGUGAGGAAACGUUCCCAGGAGGCGAGAUCCAUAUUUCUGAGCGUUUGGGUGCAGAGUGAGCGCUCAACAUGAUUGGCCUUUAAUUCAAAAACACCACAACAACAACAACACAUGCAGUCAGUGUGGAAGGAGGCAAGAGUGUUCAUGUGUAAUAUGAGGUCAGUGGAGAUAGGCAGGAGAAGACAGGCAGGAGGAGAAGCUGGUGGUGGGGUUUUAUAAGGGGGAAGGGGGCUGUCGGGGGAAGGGGCUGAUGGGAAAUGUGAGGAAGUCUUCACACCAAAAAACAGAUUUUGGUCAUUGCUUUUAUUCUCUCUUGGCAUCCAAAAUAGAUCCAAAAAAUUGCAGUUGAGGAAAGAAAGAAAGAGUGUUUAUUAGGUGUCAAAAUCUCAUUUCUCUUCCUCUUAUGACACCCUUAUGAUUUCCUCAUAUUUUAUUGUUUGCUUGUUUUUUGCGCAUUCUUUUUCUGUAUGGGAACAAAACAAACAUUCAUAAAUAGGAAUCAAGAAACUAUGUAAACGACGAGACAGCAACUGUGAACCUAAAGGUGAAUGACAAGGUAUAUGAGUGUGAGUGAGCGGGGGGGGAGGAAGAAGCCUUUGGGGACUCUGCUGUUGACUCUCAGCUCUCUCCCAGCAGAGGUGUCAUGUCGUGGCUGCUGUGGCUGUGGAUCAGUGUGGCAGGCCUGUCGCUGUGCCAAGCUACUUUCUAUCACACAAUCAAGCACCCGCACCUGACCCGGCCUGGACGCAACACCAUACAGAUCAUAGAAGGCGGGACAUGCGAAGUGAUCGCAGCUCACAGGUGCUGCAACAAGAACAAGAUAGAGGAGCGAUCUCAGACGGUGAAGUGUUCCUGUCUCCCCGGAAAAGUGGCAGGGACCACACGCAACAAGCCUUCCUGCGUCGACGCCUCCAUAGUCAUUGGGAAGUGGUGGUGUGAGAUGGAGCCUUGCUUGGAGGAGGAAGAGUGCAAGACACUCCCAGACAACUCAGGCUGGAUGUGUUACUCUGGCAACAAGAUCAAAACCACCAGGAACACACAGCCUUACACCUCACUGUAGCUACGGAAGCCAUAUUAAAACCACCGUGAGAAUAAGAUUCAAUUGAUUCCUUGGGGUGCUUUUGAGUUAAUGCAUUUCAGAUGAAGUGUGCUCCCUAUCAGCUGGUGUGAACCCACAAAUCAAGUGAGACAGUUUUUUUGGGGGGGGGGGG